AACGAACGCUGGCGGCAUGCCUAACACAUGCAAGUCGAACGAUACCUUCGGGUCUAGUGGCGCACGGGUGCGUAACGCGUGGGAACCUGCCCUUAGGUUCGGAAUAACUCCCCGAAAGGGGUGCUAAUACCGGAUAAUGUCUUCGGACCAAAGAUUUAUCGCCUUUGGAUGGGCCCGCGUUGGAUUAGCUAGUUGGUAGGGUAAAAGCCUACCAAGGCGACGAUCCAUAGCUGGUCUGAGAGGAUGAUCAGCCACACUGGGACUGAGACACGGCCCAGACUCCUACGGGAGGCAGCAGUGGGGAAUAUUGGACAAGGGGCGAAAGCCUGAUCCAGCAAUGCCGCGUGAGUGAUGAAGGCCUUAGGGUUGUAAAGCUCUUUUACCCGGGAUGAUAAUGACAGUACCGGGAGAAUAAGCUCCGGCUAACUCCGUG
rnacentral:rRNA from 1 species